rnacentral:rRNA from 1 species
CAGUAGCCGCGGGAAAACGAAGGGUGCAAGCGUUACUCGGAAUUACUGGGCGUAAAGCGCACGUAGGCGGCUUGGUAAGUUAGAGGUGAAAGCCUGGAGCUCAACUCCAGAAUUGCCUUUAAGACUGCCGAGCUAGCAGGUGAGAGAGGUAAGUGGAAUUCCGAGUGUAGAGGUGAAAUUCGUAGAUAUUCGGAAGAACACCAGUGGCGAAGGCGGCUUACUGGCUCAUACUGGACGCUGAGGUGCGAAAGCGUGGGGAGCAAACAGGAUUAGAUACCCCAGUAGUCCCUGUCUCUUAUAC